GGCUAGCUAGCUCAUUUAAUAGAGCAUGAGACUCUUUAUCUCAGGGCCAUGGGUUCAAGCCUCAUGUUGGGUG
rnacentral:tRNA from 1 species